GACGAACGCUGGCGGCGUGCCUAAUACAUGCAAGUCGAGCGGACUUAACAAGCUUGCUUUUUAAGUUAGCGGCGGACGGGUGUGUAACACGUGGGCAACCUGCCUGUAAGACUGGGAUAACUUCGGGAAACCGGAGCUAAUACCGGAUAAUCCUUUUCUACUCAUGUAGAAAAGCUGAAAGACGGUUUCCACUGUCACUUACAGAUGGGCCCGCGGCGCAUUAGCUAGUGGGUGAGGUAACGGCUCACCAAGGCGACGAUGCGUAGCCGACCUGAGAGGGGGAUCGGCCACACUGGGACUGAGACACGGCCCAGACUCCUACGGGAAGCAGCAGUAGGGAAUCUUCCGCAAUGGACGAAAGUCUGACGGAGCAACGCGGCGUGAGUGAUGAAAGUUUUCGGAUCGGAAAACUCUGUUGUUAGGGAAGAACAAGUACGAGAGUAACUGCACGUACCUUGACGGUACCUAGCCAGAAAGCCACGGCUAACUACGUG
rnacentral:rRNA from 1 species